rnacentral:sRNA from 1 species
AUCGCUGCUAAUCUAUCGCUGCUAACCUAUCUAUCGCUGCCAAUUUAUCUAUCACUGCCAAUCUAUCUAUCGCUGCCAAUCUAUUGCUGCUAAUCUAUCGCUGCUAAUCUAUCGCUGCUGCCAAUCUAUCUAUCACUGCUAAUCUAUCGCUGCUAAUCUAUCGCUGCUAAUCUAUCGCUGCCAACCUAUCUACCGCGGCGAAUCUAUUUAUUGCUGCCAACCAACCUAUCUACCACUGCCAACCUAUCUAUCGCUGCCAAUCUAUCGCUGCCAAUCUAUCGCUGCCAACCUAUCUACUCCAGUGAAUCUAUCUAUCACUAUCAUUACUAGUUCAAAAUAGAACUAGAGCAUAAAUACACUAAACUUCUUUUGAUAGAUAAUGAUUUUUGAUAAUGCUCAUAGCAUUAUAUCAUCUAUAUAGGGUAAAUCAUAAUCCCAUUUGGUCCCAUUUUACAAAAUGGUAUCAAAUGGGAUCAGAAUCAGUAAUUUAUAAGAAGAACAUGACCUGGAACUAGAUUUAUAAUAUAAACAAUGUAAAGUGACUAAUUUAAUAAACACUA